rnacentral:rRNA from 1 species
CUACGGGAUGCUGCAGUGAGGAAUUUUGCGCAAUGGGGGAAACCCUGACGCAGCAACGCCGCGUGAGCGAAGAAGGCCUUCGGGUCGUAAAGCUCUGUCAAGUGGGAAAAAAAUUCUUUGAUGAACAGUCAAAGGACUUGAUUGUACCACUGGAGGAAGCACUGGCUAACUCCGUGCCAGCAGCCGCGGUAAUACGGAGGGUGCAAGCGUUGUUCGGAAUUACUGGGCGUAAAGAGCGUGUAGGCGGUUUGACAAGUCAGAUGUGAAAGCCCCGGGCUCAACCCGGGAAGUGCAUUUGAAACUGUUUCACUAGAGUAUGGGAGAGGAGAUUGGAAUUCCUGGUGUAGAGGUGAAAUUCGUAGAUAUCAGGAGGAACACCCGUGGCGAAGGCGAUUCUCUGGACCAAUACUGACGCUGAGACGCGAAAGCGUGGGGAGCAAACAGGAUUAGAUACCCGCGUAGUC